rnacentral:tRNA from 1 species
GCCCAAGUGGUGAAAUUGGUAGACACGCCAUCUUGAGGGGGUGGUACUCGAAAGGGUGUGCUGGUUCGAAUCCAGUCUUGGGCA